ensembl:lncRNA
GUGCAGUGCGUGGUGGAGUUGUGUGUGUGUCACGUGUGUCACGUGUGUCAUGGGUGUGCAAUGUGUGUGCAGGGAGCUGAGUGUGUGCAGUGCGUGGUGGGAGUGUGGUGUGUUUAUGUGUCAAGUGUGUCACGUGUGUCAUGGGUGUGCAAUGGAUGUGCAGUGGGUGUGUGGGGUGCUGAGUGUGUGCACAGUGUGGUGGAGUGUGUGAGUGUGUGUGUGUCAUGUGUGUCAUGUGCGUCGUGGGUGUGCAAUGGGUGUUGGGUGUGUAGUUGGUGUGCAGUGGGUGUGCAAAGGGUGUGCAAUGGGCGUGCAGUGCGUGUUCGGAGUGUGUUUGUGUGUGUCAUGUGUGUUACGUGUGUCAUGGGUGUGCAAUGGGUGUGCAGUGGGAGUGUGGGGCGCUGAGUGUGUGCAGUGCGUGGUGGGAGUGUGUGUGUCAUGUGUGUCACGGGUGUCACGUGCCUUGUGGGUGUGCAAUGGGUGUGCAGGGAGCUGAGUGUGUGCAGUGUGUGCUGGGAGUGUGUGUAUGUGUGUCACGUGUGUCAUGGGUGUGCAAUGGGUGUGCAGGGAGCUGAGUGUGUGCAGUGCGUGCUGGGAGGGUGUGAGUGUGUGUGUCACAUGUGUCACGUGUGUCAUGGGUGUGCAAUGGGUGUGAAGUGGGAGUGUGGGGCGCUGUGUGUGUGCAGAGUGUGGUGGGAGUGUGUGAGUGUGUGUGUAUCACGUGUGUCACGUGUGUCAUGAGUGUGCAAUGGGCGUGCAAUGUGCGUGCAGGGAGCUGAGUGUGUGCAGUGCGUGGUGGGAGUGCGUGUGUGUCACGUGUGUAGCAGGGGUGCAAUGGGUGUGCAAUGGAGGUGCAAUGGGUGAGCUCUGGCUGUGCAAUGGGUGUGCAGGGAGCUGAGUGUGUGCAGUGUGUGGUGGGAGUGUGUAUGUGUGUGUCACGGGUGUUGGAUGUGUAGUUGGUGUGCAAAGGGUGUGCAAUUAGCAUGCAGUGCGUGUUGGGAGUGUGUUUGUGUGUGUCACAUGUGUCACGUGUGUCAUGCGUGUGCAAUGGGUGUGUAAUGGACGUGCAAUGGGUGAGCUCUGGGUGUGCAAUGGGUGUGCAAGGAACUGAGUGUGUGCAGUGUGUGGUGGGAGUGUGGUGUGUUUAUGUGUCACAUGUGUCACGUGCGUCGUGGGUGUGCAAUGGGCGUGCAAAGGCGUGGUGGGAGAGUGAGGGGGUGUCACACGCAUGUGGUGGGUGUGUAAUGGAUGUGCAAUGGGCGUGUUAGGAGUGUGUGUGUGUGUCGUGUGUUGUGUGUGUCCUGAGUGUGCAAUGGGUGUGUAAAGGGUGUGCAAUGGGCACGUAGGGUGUGUUGGGAGUGUAUGUGCGUGUGUUGUGUGUGAGUCAUGUGUGUUGUGUGUUGUGAGGGUGCAAUGGGUGUGUAAAGAGUGUGCAAUGCGUGUGCAGCUGCUGUGCAAUGGGUGUGCAAUCGGUGUGUUUGGAGUGUGUGUCUGUUCUGUGUGUGUGUCACGUGUGUCAUGUGUGUCCUGAGUGUGUAAAGGGUGUGCAAUGGGUGUGCAACGGGCAUGCGUCACGCUGAGUGUGUGCAAUGCAUGUUGGGAGUGCGCGUGCAGUGUGUGUGGUGUGUGUGUGUCACACAAGCCAUGUGUGAGCAGUGGGUGUGCAAUGGACGUGCAAUGGAUGUGCAAUGGGUGUGCAAUGGGUGUGCAAGGCACCGAGUGCAUGCAGUGUGUGGUGGAAGUGUGGGGGGAUGUGUGUCACGUGUGUCAUACGUGCCAUGUGCAUAGUGGGUGUGCAAUGGGUGUGUAAUAGAUGUGCAAAGGGUGUGCGGGCCGCCGAGUGUGUGGGAGUGUGUGUGUUGUGUGUGUGCUGUGAGCGUGCAAUGGGUGUGUAAUAGACGUGCAAUGGAUGUGAGGGUUGCCAAGUGUGUGGGAGUGUGCGUGUUAUAAGUGUGUGCUGUGGGUGUGCAAUGGGUGUGCAACGGGCAUGCGUCACGUUGAGAGUGUGCAAUGCAUGUUGGGAGUGUGCGUGCAGUGUGUGUGGUGUGUGUGUGUGUCACACGUGCCAUGUGUGAGCAGUGGGUGCGCAAUGGACGUGCAAUGGAUGUGCAAUGGGUGUGCAAGGCACUGAGUGCAUGCAGUGUGUGGUGGGAGUGUGGGGGGACAUGUGUCACGUGUGUCACACGUGCCAUGUGCAUUGUGGGUGUGCAAUGUCCGUGUCAUAGACGUGCAAUGGGCGUGCGGGGGGCCGAGUGUGUGGGAGUGUGUGUGCUGGGUGUGCGAUGGGUGUGUAAAGGGCAUGCAGGGCGCCGAGCGCGUGUGGUGCAUGGUGUGAGUGUGUGUGUGUGUGUGUGUGUGUGUGUGUCACGUGUCACGUUAGUCACACGUCACGUGUGUGGUGGGUGUGCAAUAGACGUGCAAAGGUCGUGCAAUGGGUGUGCAAGGCACUGAGUGUGUGCGGUGCGUGGUGGGAGUGUGUGUGGUGGGUGUGCAAUGGGCGUGCAGUGGGUGUGCAAGGCACCGAGUGUGUGCGGUGUGUGGUGGGAGUGUGUGUGGUGCGUGUGUGUGUGGUGGGUGUGCAAUGGGCGUGCAAUGGGUGUACAAUGGGUGUGCGUGGCACUGAGCACAUGCAAUGCAUGUUGGGAGUGUGCAUGAAGUGUGUGCAGUGUGUAUGUGUCACACGGGCCAUGUGUGAGCAGUGGGUGUGCAAUGGGCGUGCAAUGAGUGUGCAAUGAAUGUGCAGUUUGUGUGCAGGGCACUGAGUGCGUGUACUGAGUGUUCUACAUGCGUGUUGUGUGUGUCACGUGUGUCACGCAUGUUGUGUGUGUGCGCUGGGUGUGCAAUGGGCGUGCAAUGAGUGUGCAACGAGUGUGCAGGACGCUGUGUGCAUGUACUGAGCGUUGUGCAUGCGUGUUGUGUGUGUCACGUGUGUCACGCGUGUUGUGUGUGUGCAGUGGGUGUGCAAUGGGCGUGCAAUGAGUGUGCAGUGAGUGUGCAGGGCACUGAGUGCAUGUACUGAGUGUUCUACAUGCGUGUUGUGUGUGUCACGCAUGUGUCACGCGUGUCGUGUGUGUGGUGGGUGUGCAAUGGGCAUGCAAUGGGUGUGCAAUGAGUGUGCAAUUUGGGUGCAGGGCACUGAGUGCGUGCAAUGCACGUUGUGAGUGUGCAUCAAGUGCGUGUAUGUGUCACGCGGGCCAUGUGUGAGCAGUGGGUGUGCAAUGGGCGUUCAAUGAGUGUGCAAUUUUGUGCAGGGCACUGUGUGUACUGAGCGUUGUGCAUGCGUGUGUGAGUGUGCUGCGUGUGUCACACGGGCCAUAUGUGAGCAGUGUGUGUAAUGGGCGUGCAAUGAGUGUGCAGGACACUGUGUGCAUGUACUGAGCAUUGUGCAUGCGUGUUGUGUGUGUCAUGUGUGUGUCACGCGUGUUGUGUGUGUGGUGGGUGUGCAAUGGGAGUGCAAUGAGUGUGCAACAGAUGUGAGGAGUGCUGAGUGUGCGCAGUGAGUGUUGUGAGUGUGCUUUGUGCGUGCGUGUGCUGUGUGUUGUCUGAGUUGUGUAUUGCGUGCGUGCAGUGGGCGUGCAACGGGUGUGCAACGGGCAUGCGGCGUGCUGAGUGUGUGCGCUGUGUGUUGCGUGCGUGUGUAUGGAGCGUGCGGUGUGUCUCACACGUGUCGUGUGUGCUGUGGGUGUGCAACGGCCAUGCGAUUUGGGCUGUGGGUGUGUGGCGGGCGUGCAAGAGGCAUGCAGGGCACCGAGUGCACACGGUGAGUGCUAUGUGGGUGUGUCAUGUGGGUGUGGUGUGUGUGCAGUGGGCGUGCAAUGGGUGUGCAUGCAGUGUGUUGUGUGUGUGUCAUGUGUGUGGUGUGUCACACGUGUCACGUGUGCAGUGGGUGUGCAAGGGGCGUGCAAUGGCUGUGUGAUGGGCGUGCAAUGUGUGUGCAAUGAGUGUGCAUGCAGUGCAUGUUGUGUGUGCGUCUUGCGCGUGUGUUGUGUGUGUGGUUUGUGUCACGUGUCACGUGUGCAGUGGGUGUGCAAGGGGCGUGCAAUGGGUGUGCAAUGGGCGUGCAAUGGGCGUGCAAUGGGUGUGCAGGCACUGAGUGCAUGCAGUGUGUGUGUGUGUGUCAUGUGUGUGGUGUGUGUCACAUGUGUCACGUGUGCAGUGGUUGUGCAGGGGUGUGCAGUGGCUGUGUGAUGAGUGUGCAAUGGGUGUGCAAUGGGCCUGCAGGCACUGAGUGCAUGCAGUGCUGGUUGUGAGUGUGUGUCUCAUGUGUGAGAGGUGUGUAGUGUGUGUCACACGUGUCACGUGUGCAGUGGGUGUGCAAGGGGCGUGCAAUGCCUGUGUGAUGGGCGUGCAAUGGGCGUGCAAUGGGUGUGCAGGCACUGAGUGCAUGCAGUGCUGGUUGUGAGUGUGUGUCUCAUGUGUGAGAGGUGUGUAGUGUGUGUCACACGUGUCACGUGUGCAGUGGGUGUGCAAGGGGCGUGCAAUGGCUGUGCAAUGGGUGUGCAAUGGGUGUGCAGGCACCGAGUGCAUGCAGUGUUCGUGUGUGUGUCGUGUGUGUGGUGUGUCUCACACGUGACACGUGUGCAGUACGUGUGCAAUGGGUGUGCAAGUGGUGUGCAUUGGCUGUGUGAUGGGCGUGCAAUGGGCGUGUAAUGGGUGUGCAGGCACUGAGUGCACGCAGUGCUGGUUGUGUGUGUGUGUUUUGUGCGUGUGUUGUGUGCGUGCUGUGUGGCACACGUGUCACAUGUGCAGCGGGUGUGCAAUGGAUGUGGAAUGGGUGUGCAAUGGGCCUGCAGGCACUGAGUGCAUGCAGUGCUGGUUGUGAGUGUGUGUCUCAUGUGUGAGUGGUGUGUAGUGUGUGCCACAUGUGUCACGUGUGCAAUGGGCAUGCAAUGGGUGUGCAAUAGGCGUGCAAUGGGCGUGCGGUGUGCGUGUUGUGAGUGUGUGUGUGGUGUAGUGCGUGUGUGUGUCGUGUGUGCCACGCGUUUGUGUGCAGUGGGUGUGCAAGGGGAGUGCAGGGGGUGUGGGGGGCACUGUGUGCGAGUGUGUUGUGUGUGUACAGAGUGUGAGUCACAUGUGUGUCACGUGUUUGUGUCACGUGUGUGUCACAUGUGUGUGUCACAUGUGUUGUGUGCGUUGAGUAUGCUUUUAGUGUGUGUGCAAUGGGCGUGCAAGGCACCUGCAGGGCAGUGAGUGUGUCUGGUGUUGCUAUGAGUGUGUUAUGUGUGUGUCACACGUGUUGUGUGUUCUGAGUGUGUGUGCAAUGGGCGUGCAGUGCAUGUGUGGGGUGCUGAGUGUGUCUGGUGCUUGUUAUGAGUGUGUCACGCGUGUGUCACGUGUGUUGUGUGUGCUGAUUGUGCCUAUAGUGUGUGUGCAAUGGUUGUGCAGUGCGUGUGCAGGGCACUGAGUGUGUCUGGUGAUUGUUAUGAGUGUCACGCGUGUGUCACACGUGUGUCACGUUUGUUGCAUGUUGUGUGUGCUGAGUGUGCUUAUAGUGUGCGUGCAAUGGGUGUGCAGUGUGUUUGUGGGGUGCUGCACGUAUGCAGUGUCACACGUUUGUGUGUGCAACGUGUGCAAUGCCUGCAAUCACGUGUGUGGUGUGUGCAGAGGGUGUGCAAUGUGCGUGCAAGGAGCGUGCACAGUGUGCAGUCUGUGUGCAAUGGGUGUGCAAUGUGUGUGCAGUGUGUGUGCAACGGGUGUGUCAUGUGUGCAGUGGGUGUGCAACGUGUGCAGCGCGUUGGUAACGUGAGCAACAAGUGCAGUGGGUUUACAGUGCGUGGUGUGUGUGCAACGGGUGUGCAAUGGGUGUGCACGGGGAGUGCUGUGGGCAUGCACAGGGCACGGUGGUGUGUGUGUGGAGCAGGGGGUGUGCAGAGGGAGCAGUGGGUGUGCAAGAGGAGUGUGGUGCGUGCAAAGGGUCUGCGGUGGGUGUGCACUGGGCUUGCACAGGGGGAGCUGUGUGUGCAGGGGAGUGCAACAUGUGCAGUGAGUGUGCAAGAGGAGUUCACUGCAUGCGUGGGGUGAGCGGUGGGUGUGUGCGCUGUGGGUGUGCAAUGAGUGUGUGCACAGGGCGUGCAGUGUGUGUGCAAAAAGAGUGCUGGGUGUGCAGUGAGUGUGCACACAGGUUGCAGUGGGUGUGCGGUGAGUGUGCAAAGGGGGUGCAGUGCGUGCAAAGAGCAUGCAGUAGACAUGCAGUGAGUGUGCAGCGCAGUGUGUGUGCACAGAGCGUGCAGUGUGUGCAGUGGGUGUGCAACAGGAGUGCAGUGCACGCUGUGGGUGGGCAGUGAGUGUGCAAAGGGGGUGCAGUGUGUGCAAGGAGUGCACAGUGGACGUGUAAUGAGUGUGCAGUGGGCGUGCACGGGGAGUGCAGUGCGUGCAGUGAGUGUGCAAUGGGUGUGCACAGUGUGUGCAGAAUGGGUGUGCACAGGGAAUGCAGUGUGCAGUGAGUGUGCAGUGGGUGUGCACAGGGAAUGCAGUGUACAGAAUGGGUGUGCAGUGAGUGUGCACUGCGUGCCAUGAGUGUGCACAGGGAGUACAGUUGGCAUGCAACGGGCAUGCACAGGGGGUCUAAUAGGUGUGCAGUGAGUGUGCAAUGAGUGUGCACAGGGAGUGCAGUUGACAUGCAGUGUCCGAUGGGUGUGCACAGGGGGUGCAAUGGGUGUGCAGUGAGUGUGCAAUGAGUGUGCACAGGGAGUGCAGUUGGUGAGCAGUGGGUGUGCACACGGGAUCUAAUGGGAGUGCAGCAAGUGUGCAAUGAGUGUGCACAGGGGGUGUGAUGGAGAUGCAGUGCAGUGAGUGUGCAAUGGGUGUGCAGAGGGAUUGUAAUGGAUGUGCAGUGCAGUGAGUGUGCAAUGAGUGUGCAGAGGGGAUUCAGUGCAUGCAGUCGGUGUGCAAUGGGUGUGCAAAGGGAUUGUAAUGGAUGUGCAGUCAGUGUGCAGUGGUUGUGCAAAGGGAUUGUAAUGGAUGUGCAGUGAGUGUGCAACGGGUGUGCACAGGGAGUCUAAAGGAUGUGCUGAGCAGUGAGUGUGCAAUGGGUGUGCACUGGGAGUGCAGUGUGUGCAGUCGGUGUGCAAUGGGUGUGCAAAGGGAUUGUGAUGGAUGUGCAGUGCAGUGAGUGUGCAAUGGGUGAGCACUGGGUGUGUAAUGAGUGUGCACACAGUGUGUAGCGUGUGAGCACGGGAUGUGCACGCACGUUGCACCCACAAGGUUUGCACACCCGAGCAAGUGGUGCAGGUGUGCAUUAUGUGGUGCGUGUGCAGGGCUCUCACGCGUGUGCACAGGGGUGUGGGUGUGCAAGGUGUGAAUGUUUGUGCACCGGGGCAGUGUGCUUUGCACAGUGUGCUGACAGGAUGCGUGUGCAAUGUGAUCCUACUCACACGCGUGUGCAAGGCAGUCUGUGCGCAUGGCGACGCUCAUGCACGUGUGCUCCUCAUGCACACUCAUGCCACGUGCCUUGCACACGCGAGCAGUGCUCAACACAUCGCUUGUGCACACUUGCGUGUGCGUGUGCAACAGCCGCAGCACUUGCAGAGCAUGGGAGGUGGCACCUAACAUGCGUGUGCAAACAUGUUUGUGCAUACAAUGGGUGUGCAACACCAGCAAAGUGUGCAAGCGUGCUCAGGGCUGUGUACACAACACAUGCGUGAGCCUGCACGCUGCAUGAGUGUGCAAGAUGUGCAACGUCUGCUUGCACGAUGAGUGUUUGUGUGUGCAUAUAUGUACGUGUAUGUGCAAUAAGUGUGCAACACCAGCAGCACUUGCGGAGCACACAUGUGUGUCUGUGUGCUGCCACAACGAGUGUGCAAGCCUGCGUGUUGCAUGCAUGUGCCUGCACGGAUAUGCGUGUGCAAGAGGUGUGCAACACCAGCAGCACUUGCAGAACUCACACAUGUGUCUGUGUGCUGCCACAAUGAGUGUGCAAGGCCACGUACUGCAUGUAUGUAUGUGCAUGUGCCUGCAUGGAUAUGCGUGUGCAAGAGGUGUGCAACAGCAGCAGCACUUGCAGAGCGCACACGUGUGUCUGUGUGCUGCCACAAUGAGUGUGCAAGGCUGUGUUGCAUGUUUGUAUGCGUGUGUGCCUGCAUGGGUAUGUGUGUGCAAGAGGUGUGCAACACCAGCAGCACUGGUGGAGCACACUUGUGUGUCUGUGUGCUGCCACGAUGAGUGUGCAAGGCUGUGUGUUGCAUGCGUGUGCAUGUGCCUGCAUGGGUAUGUGUGUGCAAGAGGUGUGCAACAGCAGCAGCACUUGCAGAGCACACACGUGUGUCUGUGUGCUGCCACAACGAGUGUGCAAGGCUGCGAGGUGUGUGUGUGCAUACAUGUACGUGUGUGCAAUAAGUGUGCAACAGCAGCAGCACUUGCAGAGCUCACACGUGUGUCUGUGGGCUCCCACAAUGAGUGUGCAAGGCUGUGUGUUGCAUGCGUGUGCCUGCAUGGGUAUGUGUGUGCAAGAGGUGUGCAACAGCAGCAGCACUUGCAGAGCACACACGUGUGUGAUGGCACAAUGAGUGUGCAAGGCUGCGUGUAGCAUGUUUGUAUGCGUGUGUGCCUGCAUGGGUAUGUGUGUGCAAGAGGUGUGCAACACCAGCAGCACUUGUGUGCAUGCCUGCCUGCCCACGUCUGCUUGAUGUGAGUGUGUACGUGAGUGCACACCGGCUGCGCGUGCAAACAUUGGCAUGGGUGUGCAAAACCAGCAGCACGUGCAGAGCACACAAGCCUGCUUGUGUGUGGGUGUGUCUGCGUGUGCAAAUGUUCACACGCGUGUGCAGCACCCGCCGCACUUAGGGCGCCUCGCUUGGAUCCACGUGCGUGUCAGGUGUGUGUGUGUGUGUGCGUGUGCAUACAUGCACACGCGUGUGCAACACCGACAGCGCUCACAAAGCAGAGCAGCUCCUUCCUGUCUGCUUGCACGAGGAGUGUGUGAAUGUGUGUGCACGUGUGAGUGUGUGUGCAUGUAAAUUCGUGACACACGCGUAUGCUUGAAUGUGUGGAUGGGUGUGCAUGUGCGUGUGCCCACACGUACACGCGUGUGCAACAGCUGUGCAGCACUCACAGCGCGUGUGAGCCGGCUGCUGCCUGCUGGCACCACAUACAUACCCGUGCUUGCACACGCGUGUGCAACAUGCAUAGCUAUAAGCGAGCGUGCACAUGUGUGUGCCUCCAUGUACACGCGUGUGCAACACCAGCAGCCAUUGCAGAGCAUGCAGGCCCUACUGCUGCCUGCUUGCACGUGCGUGUGUAAGCAUGCGUGCCCUCUGUGUGUGAGUGUGCACGUGUAAGUGCACAACACACACGUGUGCCUGCACGUUGCAUGCCUGUACAUGUGUGUGCUCACACGUAUGUGUGCAACAGCGGCCGUGACAUGCGCAUACCUGUGCUUGCACACGCCUGUGCAUACAUGCUGCAGGGCUAUAUGUGCGUGUGCUCACGUGCGUGUGCAACAGCAGAGCAGCACCACCAGCACUCAUAGAGCCCCUGUGAGCCAAUUGCUUCCUGCUGGCACCACACAGUUGCACAGAUGCUUGCACACGCGUGUGCAUGAACUACGGCCUGUCACACACAUGUGCAUGCAUGUAUCUGUGUGUGUGCUCACACGUGCGUGUGCAACAGCAAUCAGCAUCUGCAGCACUCAUAGCGCCCUUGUGAGCUGACGGCCGCCUGCUGGCACCACACGGUUGCACAUACACUUGCACACACGUGUGCACUCACUACGGUCUAUCACACACGUGCACACGCACGUUGUGUGCAUAUGAGUGUGCAACAGUCAUGCACUCUCAGAGCCCCUGUGAGCCAAUUGCUGCCUGCUGGCACCACACGGUUGCACGUACACUUGCACACACGUGCGCACUCACUACGGCCUAUCACACACACGUGUGCACACCUGCAGUGUGUGUGUGAGUGUGCAACAGCAGAGCAGCACCUGUAGCACUCAUAGAGCCCUUGUGAGCUGACAGCUGCCUGCUGGCACCACACGGUUGCACAUACACAUGCACACGCGUGUGCACACACUACAGCCUGUCACACACGUGUGCAUGUAUAUAUAUAUGUGUGUGCGCUCACACGUGCGUGUGCAACAGCAAUCAGCACCUGCAGCACUCAUAGAGCCCUUGUGAGCUGACGGCCGCCUGCUGGCACCACACAGUUGCACAUACACUUGCACACGCGUGUGCACUCACUAUGGCCUAUCACACAUGCGUGCAUGCAUGCUGUGUAUAUGUUAGUGUGCAACGGCCAUGCACUCUCAGAGCCCCUGUGAGCCAAUUGCUGCCUGCUGGCACCACACAGCUGCACAGAUGCACACGCGUGUGCACUCACUAUGGCCUAUCACACACGUGUGCACACCUGCAGUGUGUGUGUGAGUGUGCAACAGCAGAGCAGCACCUGCAGCACUCAUAGAGCCCUUGUGAGCUGACAGCCGCCUGCUGGCACCACACGGUUGCACAUACACGUGCACACGCGUGUGCACACACUACAGCCUGUCACACACGUGUGCAUGCAUAUAUAUGUGUGUGUGCUCACACGUGCGUGUGCAACAGCCACGCAGCACUCACAGAGCCCUUGUGAGCCGACAGCCGCCUGCUGGCACCACACGGUUGCACAGACACUUGCACACACGUGUGCACUCACUACAGCCUGUCACACACGUGUGCAUGCAUAUAUAUAUAUGUGCGUGUGUGCUCACACGUGCGUGUGCAACAGCCAUGCAAUACCCGCAUCACUCACAGAGCCCUUGUGAGCCAAUUACUGCCUGCUGGCACCACACAGUUGCACAGACGCACACGCGUGUGCACUCACUACAGCCUGUCACACGCAUGUGCAUGCACGUACAUGUGUGUGCUCACACGUGCGUGUGCAACAGCCACGCAGCACUCACAGAGCCCUUGAGAGCCUAUUGUUGCCUGCCGGCCCCACGCAGUUGCACAGACACACACACGUGUGCACUCACUACAGCCUGUCACACGCGUGUGCAUGCAUAUAUUGCUCACACGUGCGUGUGCAACAGCCACGCAGCACUCACAGAGCCCUUGUGAGCCGACAGCCGCCUGCUGGCACCACAUGGUUGCACAGACACUUGCACACACGUGUGCACUCACUACAGCCUGUCACACACGCGUGCACACCUGCAGUGUGUAUGUGAGUGUGCAACAGCCAUGCAGCACCCGCAGCACUCACAGAGCCCCUGAGAGCCUAUUGCUGCCUGCUGGCACCACGCUGUUGCACAUACACUUGCACACACGUGUGCACUCACUAUGGCCUGUCACAGACGUGUGCAUGCACGUACAUGUGUGUGCUCACACGUGCAUGUGCAACAGCCACGCAGCACUCACAGAGCCCUUGAGAGCCUAUUGCUGCCUGCUGGCACCACAUGGUUGCACAGAUACUUGCACACUAUGGCCUAUCACACACGUGUGCACACCUGCAGUGUGUAUGUGAGUGUGCAACAGCCAUGCAGCACCCGCAGCACUCACAGAGCCCAUGAGAGCCUAUUGCUGCCUGCUGGCACCACACUGUUGCACAUACACUUGCACACACGUGUGCACUCACUACAGCCUGUCACACACGUGUGCAUGCAUAUAUGUGUGUGUGCUCACACGUGCGUGUGCAACAGCCACGCAGCACUCACAGAGCCCUUGUGAGCCGACGGCCGCCUGCUGGCACCACAUGGUUGCACAGACACUUGCACACACGUGUGCACUCACUACAGCCUGUCACACACGUGUGCACACCUGCAGUGUGUAUGUGAGUGUGCAACAGCCAUGCAGCACCCACAGCACUCACAGAGCCCCUGAGAGCCUAUUGCUGCCUGCUGGCACCACACUGUUGCACAUACACUUGCACACACGUGUGCACUCACUACAGCCUGUCACACACGCGUGCACACCUGCAGUGUGUAUGUGAGUGUGCAACAGCCAUGCAGCACCCGCAGCACUCACAGAGCCCCUGAGAGCCUAUUGCUGCCUGCCGGCCCCACGCACGCUCACACCCGCGUGUGCACUCACCCGACGGCCCCUCACACGCGCGUGCAAAGCCCGGGGGGGGGGAUUUCGACCAAAGGGGGGGGUCGGGGGGGGGGAGGGGUCGGUUGCAGGUUGGCUAUGGGGGGGUUUUGGGGGGGGGGGGGGGUUUGCUAGCGCUACUGUGACGGCAUCCCUGAUCUUCGUCGCUAGUGAGAAGUGGGGCCGGGCGGCCGCGAGUCCUCGUGAGUCCUCGUGAGCUCACGCCGGCCACCCUCCACGAUUAUUUAUCCGUAUGAGUAUGAUUAGUAUCCUUAUUAUCAUUAAUUAUUAUUAUUAUUAUUAGCAUUCUUAGUAUUAUUAGUAUUAUUGCUCUGAGAGGUUUCAGUCCGACGCGGUCAUGGAGGAGAAGUUGGGCGCUCCCACAGCGCCACCUGCAGGACGGGAGGAGAAACGGCGCCCCCCCGCCCCCAUAGCGGCUCUUCCUCCUCCUCCUCCUCCUCUCCUCUCCUCGACGUCGUCGUCUGCUUCGCUCUGUGCUGAGUCCCGUUGGGGGGGUUUUUGGGGAGGGGGGUGGGGGGGGGGGGGGGUUGGGGGUCCCUCCCCUCCGCUCGGUGCUUUUUGCUUUUUUUCUUGCUUUUUUUUCUUUUCUUUUGGCUUUUUUUGUUUGUUUGUUUUUCUCUCGUUUUUUUUUUCCCUGUUUUAUUUUCUCCUUUUUUUUUUCGGUUUUUUUUUCUUCUUUUUUUCCUUCAUUUUUAAGCUUUUUUUCUCCCUUUUUAAAUCUUUUCUUCCCCUUUUCUUCUCCUUUUCUUCUCCUUUUCUUCUCCUUUUUUUCUCCUUUUCUCUCCUUUUUUCUCCUUUUCUCUCCUUUUUUCCUUUUUUUCUUCUCCUUUUCUUUUCCUUUUCUUCUCCUUUUUUCUCCUUUUUCUUCUCCUUUUCUUCUCCUUUUUUCUCCUUUUCUUCUCCUUUUUCUUCUCCCUUUUUCUCCUUUUUUCUCCCUUUUUUCUCCUUUUUUUUCUCCUUUUCUUCUCCUUUUUCUUCUCCUUUUCUUCUCCUUUUUCUCCUUUUUCUCCUUUUUUCUCCUUUUUUCUCCUUUUUUCUCCUUUUUUCUCCUUUUUUCUCCCUUUUUUCUCCUUUUUUCUCCUUUUUUCUUCUUUUCUUCUCAUUUUUUCUCCAUUUUAUCUCCUCUUCUUCCUUUUUUCUCAUUUUCUCCUUUUUUCCUCCUUUUCUCUUUCUCUUUUUCUUCUCCUUUUUUUCUCCUUUUCUUCUCGUUUUUUUCUCCUUUUUUCUCCUUUUCUUCUCCUUUUUUCUCCUUUUUUCCUCCCUUUUCUCCCUUUUUCUCCUUUAUUUCUCCUUUUUUCUCCUUUUUCUCCUCCUUUUCUCCUCUGUUUCUCCUUUUUCUCCUUUUCUCUCCAUUUUUUCCUCCUCUUUUUUCUCCUUUUUUUCUCCCUUUUUCUCCUAUUUUUGGCACCUCUUCCCAUUUUCUUCCCCUCUUCCUUUCAAAUCUUUUUUCCUCUCUUUUUUUUUCCUCAUUCUCCCCCUUUUUUCUCCUUUCUCUCCUUUUUUUCGCAUUUUUUCUCCUCCUUUUCUCCUCUUUUAUUCCUCUUUUCCUCCACUUUUUCACCUCUUUUUCUCCAUUUUUUCUCCUCUUUUCCUCCUUUUUUUCUCCUCUUCUCCUCCUUUUUUUUCCUCCUCAUUUUCUCCUUUUUUCCUCCCUUUUUCUCCUUUUUUUUCCAUUUUUUCACCUCUUUUCCUCCUUUUUUCUCCUCUUCUCCUCCUUUUUUUCUCAUCAUUUUCUCCUUUUUCCUCCCUUUUUUUCUCCUCUUUUUCCUCACUAUUUUCUCCUUUUUUCUCCUUUUUUCUCCAUUUUAUCUCCUCUUCUCCUCCUUUUUUUCUCAUUAUCUUUUUUCCUCCAUUUUUUCUCCUCUUUUCCUCCUUUUUAUUCUCCUCUUCUCCUCCUUUUUUUUCUCAUUUUCUCCUUUUUUCCUCCCUUUUUUGUCCUUUUUUCUCCAUUUUAUCUCCUCUUCUCCUCCUUUUUUUUCUUCUCAUUUCCUCAUUUUUUCCUCCCUUUUUCUCCCUUUUUCUCCAUUUUUCUCUUUUCCUCCUUUUUUUCUCCUCUUCUCCUCCUUUUUUCCUCCUCAUUUUCUCCAUUUUUCCUCCUUUUUUUCUCCUUUUUUCUCCAUUUUUUCUCCUCUUCUCCUCCUUUUUUUUUCUUCUCAUUUCCUCCUCUUUUUCCUCCCUUUUUCUCCUUUUUUUCUCCCUUUUUUCUCCUCUUUUCCUCCUUUUUAUUCUCCUCUUCUCCUCCUUUUUUUUCCUCCUCAUUUUCUCCUUUUUUCCUCCCUUUUUCCUCCUUUUUUCUCCUUUUUUCUCCAUUUUAUCUCCUCUUCUCCUUUUUUCCUCCCUUUUUUCUCCUUUUUUCUCCAUUUUAUCUCCUCUUCUCCUCCUUUUUUCCUCCCUUUUUUCCUCCUUUUUUUCUCCUUUUUUCCUCCUUUUUCCUCCUCUUUUCCUCCUCAUUUUCUCCUUUUUUCCUCCCUUUUUUCUCCUUUUUUCUCCCUUUUUCUCCAUUUUAUCUCCUCUUCUCCUCCUUUUUUCCUCCCUUUUUUCUCCUUUUUUCUCCAUUUUAUCUCCUCUUCUCCUCCUUUUUUCCUCCCUUUUUUCCUCCCUUUUUUCUCCUUUUUUCCUCCUUUUUCCUCCUCUUUUCCUCCUCAUUUUCUCCUUUUUUCCUCCCUUUUUUCUCCUUUUUUCUCCCUUUUUCUCCAUUUUAUCUCCUCUUCUCCUCUUUUUUUUCCUCCUCAUUUUCUCCUUUUUUCCUCCCUUUUUCCUCCCUUUUUUCUCCUUUUUUCUCCAUUUUAUCUCCUCCUCCUUUUUUCCUCCUUUUUUUCUCCUUUUUUCCUCCUUUUUCCUCCUCUUUUCCUCCUCUUUUUCUCCUUUUUCCUCCCUUUUUCUCCUAUUUUUUGGCAUCUCUUCCCAUUUUCUUCCCCUCUUCCUUUCCAAUCUCUCUUUUUUUUUUCUCUCCUUUUUUCGCAUUGUUUUUCCCAUCCCGUUCUGAGAUUCGACUUUGGCAUCGCGGGGGGGGGG